AGGGCACCACCAGGAGUGGAGCCUGCGGCUUAAUUUGACUCAACACGGGAAAACUCACCCGGCCCGGACACUGUAAGGAUUGACAGACUGAGAGCUCUUUCUUAAUUCAGUGGGUGGUGGUGCAUGGCCGUUCUUAGUUGGUGGAGCGAUUUGUCUGGUUAAUUCCGAUAACCAACGAGACUCUGGCCUAUUAAAUAGACGAGAUAUUACUCAGUAUCUCGCGCUUCUUAGAGGGACAAGCGGCGUCUACUCGCAUGAAAAAGAGGAAUAACAGGUCUGUGAUGCCCUUAGAUGUCCGGGGCUGCACGCGCGCUACACUGAAAGAAUCAGUGGGCGUUUUACCUGGUUCGGAAGAACCGGGUAACCCAAGUAAUUUCUUUCGUGCUUGGGAUAGGGAAUUGCAAUUAUUUCCCUUAAACGAGGAAUUCCCAGUAAACGCGGGUCAUAAGCUCGUGUUGAUUACCUCCCUGCCCUUUGUACACACCGCCCGUCGCUACUACCGAUUGGAUGACUUAGUGA
rnacentral:rRNA from 1 species